rnacentral:siRNA from 1 species
UGACUUCCUGAACUUCGGCGGUA